rnacentral:rRNA from 1 species
UACGGAGGAUGCGAGCGUUAUCCGGAUUUACUGGGUGUAAAGGGAGCGUAGGCGGCGAUGCAAGUCAGAAGUGAAAGCCCGGGGCUCAACUCCGGGACUGCUUUUGAAACUGUGUUGCUAGAUUGCAGGAGAGGUAAGUGGAAUUCCUAGUGUAGCGGUGAAAUGCGUAGAUAUUAGGAGGAACACCAGUGGCGAAGGCGGCUUACUGGACUGUAAAUGACGCUGAGGCUCGAAAGCGUGGGGAGCAAACAGG